UAGGAAUCGAUUAAGCCACUGUCCC
rnacentral:piRNA from 1 species